UGUGUGUGUGUGUGUGUGUGUGUGUGGUCUAUCGCAGACACCCCGCUCUGACCUGACCUACUGUCAAGGGAAAGCCAAGUCAGCCUGUGUGUGUGUGUGUGUGUGUGUGUGUGUGUGUGUGUGUGUGUGUGUGUGUGUGUGUGGUCUGUCACGGACGCCCGGCUCUGACCUACUGUCAAGGUAAAAUAGAGCGCUCCCUGCGGUCACUCCCAAUGCAGGCCUUGGAAAAGAUUGUUUAUGUGAGUGUGAGAGGCCCUCUUAAGUUGGACAGCAGUAAAGAGAUGAAAAAUGACACCAUCCCCAGCCCUCAGGAAUACAGAUGAAGAUAAAUUGACAACAGAGGAGUCAUGUGUGGCUGUUCCUAAUGAAACCUUACCACACACUUGAAGGUGAUGAGGGUGCUUCUCACAUGGAAAAAUUGGAUUGGAGACCUCCGUGGUAGAUCAUACCUUUUUUAUGAGUUUUCUUGUGGGUACCCCAGCAGCCAUGACUGUCUUUAAAGCCUAUGUUCCUUUAUUAAGUUUAGUGGAUCUCUUGAAUCCUGUUCUUGUGCCGUAGGGCAGGAAAACGCCUCUAUACAAUAGCAGAGUUGUGUAUUCUGGGGGGUUUAUUUAUUUGUGGAAUUUUUAGUUUGUUUCUGUUGUUCUUUUUUAUUUUAUUUCAUGUGCAUUGGUGUGAGUUACAGACAGUUGUUUUAGCUACCAUGUGGGUACUGGGAAUUGAACCUGGGUCCUCUGGAAGACCAGCCAGUGCUCUUAACAGAGCCACAUCUCCAGCCCCUUUUCCUUUGUUUUGUUUUGUUUAUUUUUUUCUGAAAAUAAAACUAUGCAAAAUAGAGAAGAUGCCUUUUCAUGUAGUCCUGCUCUCCUUGUAAAGUAACACUCAGGAAGCUGUGAGCUUUUCCUGGGUUGUAUUGGAAGAUCAUGAGAAAAGCACUUGGCCUCUGUUUUGAACUCAGAAUGCAGCCCUUUGAGUCCCCUUCAGCCAGCCAAAAUUCAUGUCACUGUUGCAGUUUAUUGUAAUAAGAACAAAUGAUGACAUUUCGAAGUACCAAAAUUGUUCUGGGAACAAAGUGGUCCCAAUGGCCUGGGCUUUCAGCCCUAUUUUCUUUAUCCUUAGAGAAAUAGCAUCAGAGUUUGGAAUUCUUUUCCUGAGGUGGAGCAGUUUCUGGUAGUUUUGUGUAGUAAGUGUUAAAGGUAUAAGCAAAGACUCGUGCAGGCUAGCUAAGUCAAGCCAUCAGAAAGGGCAAGUGUUGGCUGUAUAUCUCAAUUACCUCUGCAACUCAAACCGACAAUAGUCACUUCCUUGCAGUAGCUCAGAAGAUGCAGCUUAAUGAAAAUAUGGGUGGAACUCUUAUGGCAAAAGGCUGCCUCCAGGGCUCCAGUGUUCUAAUGUGUUCUCUGAUAGUGAGAAAACACUUUGUCCUUGAGCCAGUAUCUGGAAAACUACGGAAAACCAGAGUCAUGAGAGCAGCAAUUAAGGUUGCAGCUCUGCAGCCCCUCUGCCCUCCUAGGAAGACUGUACCAGGGAAGUACCCUUGCCCAUCUGCUGUUGGAGCCUCUAUCUCCCUCUAUUAGGGGUCUUGAAAGGCUGGACAGAAAGCUUAACCAUAUCUUCUGGUUGU
ensembl:lncRNA